GAAGUGAUAGUCUACAGAUACAAGAUUGUUAGAAAAAGUAUGCAGACCGCAGUUGACAAGAAUUGUGCAGAGUAAAGAAUUUGGUUAUCUUGAAAGUUGUUGCUCAGAAAAGAAAGGAUCGGUUGGGGGAAUCAAGGGAUCGACCAUGAGUUGUUUUGAUAUGGGCAGAUUAAGAUAAGGUCAGAACUAAUAUCCACAACUCCUUUCAAAGAUUGUUCAGUAAAGAGUGUACAUAUACGUUUUCAGAA
rnacentral:lncRNA from 1 species